ACUCCUACGGGAGGCAGCAGCUAAGAAUCUUCCGCAAUGGGCGCAAGCCUGACGGAGCGACGCCGCGUGAACGAUGAAGGCCGCAAGGUUGUAAAGUUCUUUUCGGGAAGGAGAAUAAGGGGAGCAGGCAAUGGCUUUCCGAUGCCGUGAAUCCCGGAAUAAGCCCCGGCUAACUACGUGCCAGCAGCCGCGGUAAUA
rnacentral:rRNA from 1 species